AGAAAAGCCAGCUUCCUGAUUUGGGUUAACAUCCUUGUAAGUUUCUGCUUGGAGCAUCACUGCCUCCCUACAGAGAGCAAUCAUAGAUAAAAAUUGAUUAGACCAGGUUUGGAAGACAUUGCUUUUCCCAAAGGAAGAGGAGUACUGGGACCUGAGAAUAGCUGCAUUGGGACAAAUGUGACACAAUGGUGGACAGUACCAGCAGUCAUGCAUAUUGAUC
rnacentral:lncRNA from 1 species